GACGUAGGGCGCGAGCGUUGUCCGGAUUUAUUGGGCGUAAAGAGCUCGUAGGCGGUGUGUCGCGUCGGUCGUGAAAACUUGGGGCUUAACCCUGAGCUUGCGGUCGAUACGGGCAUCACUGGAGUUCGGCAGGGGAGACUGGAAUUCCUGGUGUAGCGGUGAAAUGCGCAGAUAUCAGGAGGAACACCGGUGGCGAAGGCGGGUCUCUGGGCCGAUACUGGCGCUGAGGAGCGAAAGCGUGGGGAGCGAACAGG
rnacentral:rRNA from 1 species